UGCGGAAGGAUCAUUAUCGAGUUUGAAAGGGGUUUGCAGCUGACUCUCCGGAGUAUGUGCUCGCCUCGCUCAUCCACUCUACACCUGUGCACUAUCUGUGGGCUUCGGCCUACGUCUCUACACACACAAUAUGUAUCAGAAUGUAACACCGCGUCUAACGCAAUAAUACAACUUUCAACAACGGAUCUCUUGGCUCUCGCAUCGAUGAAGAACGCAGCGAAAUGCGAUAAGUAAUGUGAAUUGCAGAAUUCAGUGAAUCAUCGAAUCUUUGAACGCACCUUGCGCUCCUUGGUAUUCCGAGGAGCAUGCCUGUUUGAGCGUCGUGAAUCUCUCAACCCACAAAUUGUUUGUUCAGUUUGUGCGGCUUGGACUUGGAGGUAUUGCUGGCGAUGGUCAGCUCCUCUUAAAUGUAUUAGCUGGGCUUAGCUCGGUGGAACGGUUAGUGUGAUAAUUAUCUGCGCUGCCUACUACAUCGGAUCCCGCUUCUAAUCGUCCGCAAGGACAAUUCACUUUGAAUCUGACCUCAAAUCAGGUAGGACUACCCGCUGAACUUAAGCAUAUCA
rnacentral:rRNA from 1 species